rnacentral:tRNA from 1 species
GGAAAGGUACUCAAGUCGGUGAAGAGAUCAGUUUGCUAAACUGAUAGUACCUGUAAAGGUAGCAGGGGUUCGAGUCCCUUCCUUUCCA